AUUGAACGCUGGCGGCAGGCCUAACACAUGCAAGUCGAACGAGUGGCGGACGGGUGAGUAAUGCCUGGGAACCUAGCUGAUGGAGGGGGAUAACUACGGGAAACGGUAGCUAAUACCGCGUACCAUAGGAUGAGCCCAAGUGGGAUUAGGUAGUCGGUGGGGUAAAGGCUCACCGAGGCGACGAUCCCUAGCUGGGCUGAGAGGAUGACCAGCCACACUGGAACUGAGACACGGCCCAGACUCCUACGGGAGUCAGCAGUGGGGAAUAUUGCGCAAUGGGGGCAAGCCUGAUGCAGCCAUGCCGCGUGAAUGAAGAAGGCCUUCGGGUUGUAAAGUUCUUUCGGUGGCGAGGCGUUAACUACAGAAGAAGCACCGGCUAACUCCGUGCCAGCAGCCGCGGUAAUAC
rnacentral:rRNA from 1 species